rnacentral:rRNA from 1 species
UGAUCCCGCCGGACCCCACUGCUAUCGGGAUAGGACUAAGACAUGCUAGUCGUGUGCCUCAGCCAAAACGAGGCACGGCGCACAGCUCAGUAACACGUGGCUAACCUGCCCUUAGGACGAGAAUAACCCCGGGAAACUGGGGCUAAUGCUCGAUAGGUGAAGAACUCUGGAAUGAGUCUUCACUUAAAAGAGUCUGCGUUAUGCUCGUAGAUUUCGCUUAAGGAUGGGGCCGCGACCGAUCAGGUUGUUGGUGAGGUAAUGGCUCACCAAGCCUUUUACCGGUGCGGGCCGUGAGAGCGGGAGCCCGGAGAUGGGCACUGAGACAAGGGCCCAGGCCCUACGGGGCGCAGCAGUCGCGAAAACUUUGCAAUACACGAAAGUGUGACAGGGCUAUCCCGAGUGCCAUCCGCUGAGGAAGGCUUUUACCCAGUCUAGAAAGCUGGGAGAAUAAGGAGAGGGCAAGUCUGGUGUCAGCCGCCGCGGUAAUACCAGCUCUCCGAGUGGUGUGGAUGUUUAUUGGGCCUAAAGCAUCCGUAGCUGGCUAAGUUAGUCCCCUGUUAAAUCCAACGAAUUAAUCGUUGGAUCGCGGGGGAUACUGCUUGGCUAGGGGACGAGAGAGGCAGACGGUAUUUCCGGGGUAGGGGUGAAAUCCUAUAAUCCCGGGAAGACCACCAGUGGCGAAGGCUGUCUGCUAGAACGCGCCCGACGGUGAGGGAUGAAAGCUGGGGGAGCGAACCGGAUUAGAUACCCGGGUAGUCCCAGCUGUAAACGAUGCAGGCUAGGUGUUUGGACGGCCACGUGCCGUUCUAGUGCCGCAGGGAAGCUGUUAAGCCUGCCGCCUGGGGAGUACGAUCGCAAGAUUGAAACUUAAAGGAAUUGGCGGGGGAGCACCACAAGGGGUGAAGCUUGCGGUUUAAUUGGAUUCAACGCCGGG